rnacentral:rRNA from 1 species
UACGUAGGGACCGAGCGUUAUCCGGAUUCAUUGGGCGUAAAGAGCUCGUAGGCGGCUAUUCAAGUCGAACGUGAAAUCUCGGAGCUCAACUCCGAGCCUGCGUUCGAUACUGGGUAGCUAGAGUCUGGUAGGGGGAUCUGGAAUUCCUGGUGUAGCGGUGGAAUGCGCAGAUAUCAGGAGGAACACCGAUUGCGAAGGCAGCUCGCUGGAACGUUACUGACGCUGAGACGCGAAAGCGUGGGGAGCAAACAGG